UGGGUGGAUAUGGGGGACUUUUGGUAUAGCAUUGGAAAUGUAAAUGAGUUAAAUACCUAAUAAAAAAUGGAAAAAAAAAUAAAAUAAAAGAAGUAAAAAAAAAAAAAAAAAAAAAAAAAAAAAAAAAAAAAAGAAAAAAGCUAACCAGCUCAAACUUGAGGGUAGAAGCUCAAACUUGGGGGUAGAAACUCUUGCGAACCGCCCAGGUUAUCUAGGGAACGGAGGGAGGCCAGAGGUGCUGCCUUUUAUAUGACAUUCCGAAAUUCCUGUGUGUCCUUGCAUUGACCAUACCUGAUAUUUCUUGGCCUGUCUUUCUAUUCACUGUCCACAAAUAUUUUUUGAAUGUGAUUUGUAAGUUUUUAUGUGUACUAUCUCACAACAAACAUCCUAAUUGUACCUUAACCCUAUUUACAGAUAGAAAAAAAUUAGGGCAUAAAUAAAUAAUAUAGAAUAACUUGUCAAGUACCAGAUAGCAAGUCACUGGCUAUAUAUUUCAACUCUUGGUUUUAUUAUUAUUGAGUGGCUGACAGGACAACUUGAACCAAAUAUGAAGCAAACUUUAAAUACUGGCCAGGAUGAUAGACUCUGGUCAAGCCCGCCUCUGGGUUCCCAGGAAAUGGCCACACAUCAUGUUUUGCAGAGGCUUAAAAAACUCACAUUCGUCCCAUUUCCCAUGAGGUCCAAUCAGGUCCAAGCAUACAUUCUGACUUAUUUCUUGACUAACUUACUUCUCACAUAAAUCCAGUCAGGGGCAAACGUACAUCCUAACACAUUUCCUUUAUCCCUGUGUCCUACCCACAUCCAGUCAGGGCCAGUAUAAAUUCUGAUGUUUUCCUGCGCAUGUCCCUCCCUCCAACAUGUGGCCAAGCACAUCCUGAACAGAUGGAUCAAGCAAACAUAGGGCAAACUGGAAUGUAAUUUAACUGCCUCACCUGCAGACAGAACCUGUAACCCACAAGGACUCAUUUUCCUGCUUUGGUCUCCCAUUAACUUGCAAAAUGUAUUGUUCUUGUCCCUGUUUUGGUCUCACAACAUAAGAGUUUUAUCAGGCAGGUGUGUGUGUUCACACAUGUGGGCAUACAUUCGAGGUAUGCGCUUGUGUGUGAGGAGGCCAGACACCUUCUACCAUAGCUUUUCUCAUCUGAACUCAGGUCACUGGGCACACUGGCAUGUAGCUCAUUUGUUGGAGCUAGUCUGGCUGGUCGCCUUGAUCCAGAGAUUCUCUGCUUGGACUGGAGCUACACAGGUGGACUGCAAUCACUCAGCUUCUAAAAGUUGAUUUUAAUUUUUAAAGUUUUAUUUUUAGCAGGUCAUGGUGGGACAUGCCUUUAAUCCCUGCAGAGACAGGAAGAUCUCUGUGAAUUUGAGGUCAGCCUGGUUUACAAAAUGAGUUUCAGGGUAGCCAGGGCUGUUACAUAGAGAAACAAACAAAAAAACAAAAACAAAAACAAAAAACAG
rnacentral:lncRNA from 1 species